CGAUUUGAUGCAAGGUUAAGCAGUAAAUGUGGAGCCGUAGCGAAAGCGAGUCUGAAUAGGGCGUUUAGUAUUUGGUCGUAGACCCGAAACCAGGUGAUCUACCCUUGGUCAGGUUGAAGUUCAGGUAACACUGAAUGGAGGACCGAACCGACUUACGUUGAAAAGUGAGCGGAUGAACUGAGGGUAGCGGAGAAAUUCCAAUCGAACCUGGAGAUAGCUGGUUCUCUCCGAAAUAGCUUUAGGGCUAGCCUCAAGUGAUGAUUAUUGGAGGUAGAGCACUGUUUGGACGAGGGGCCCCUCUCGGGUUACCGAAUUCAGACAAACUCCGAAUGCCAAUUAAUUUAACUUGGGAGUCAGAACAUGGGUGAUAAGGUCCGUGUUCGAAAGGGAAACAGCCCAGACCACCAGCUAAGGUCCCAAAAUAUAUGUUAAGUGGAAAAGGAUGUGGCGUUGCCCAGACAACUAGGAUGUUGGCUUAGAAGCAGC
rnacentral:rRNA from 1 species